rnacentral:lncRNA from 1 species
GUGAAUAUAAUUACAUGUGAUACCAAAAUAAUCUUCCUUUUUUCUAGAGUUUUUCCAUGUCUAAUCCAACUGUUCUCCGAAUAUGCCCCAUUAGAUCGAAUCAUUCAUGAUCAUCGGCAACAAUCCAAGAUAACUAACAUUGAAUUAGAACUUCAAAAAAUAGUCAAAAGUCAAGGGUACCAAUUUGAGAUUUUUUGUAAUCUCAAGGGUCUCAUACAACUAAGAAGUAAAGAUCUAGUCUUCUGUUACCCUUUUGGUUGAAU